rnacentral:rRNA from 1 species
CACAUAUUGUGAGCUCGAUGAGUAGGGCGGGACACGUGGUAUCCUGUCUGAAUAUGGGGGGACCAUCCUCCAAGGCUAAAUACUCCUGACUGACCGAUAGUGAACCAGUACCGUGAGGGAAAGGCGAAAAGAACCCCGGCGAGGGGAGUGAAAAAGAACCUGAAACCGUGUACGUACAAGCAGUGGGAGCCUCUUUAUGGGGUGACUGCGUACCUUUUGUAUAAUGGGUCAGCGACUUAUAUUCUGUAGCAAGGUUAACCGAAUAGGGGAGCCGAAGGGAAACCGAGUCUUAACUGGGCGUUAAGUUGCAGGGUAUAGACCCGAAACCCGGUGAUCUAGCCAUGGGCAGGUUGAAGGUUGGGUAACACUAACUGGAGGACCGAACCGACUAAUGUUGAAAAAUUAGCGGAUGACUUGUGGCUGGGGGUGAAAGGCCAAUCAAACCGGGAGAUAGCUGGUUCUCCCCGAAAGCUAUUUAGGUAGCGCCUCGUGAAUUCAUCUCCGGGGGUAGAGCACUGUUUCGGCAAGGGGGUCAUCCCGACUUACCAACCCGAUGCAAACUGCGAAUACCGGAGAAUGUUAUCACGGGAGACACACGGCGGGUGCUAACGUCCGUCGUGAAGAGGGAAACAACCCAGACCGCCAGCUAAGGUCCCAAAGUCAUGGUUAAGUGGGAAACGAUGUGGGAAGGCCCAGACAGCCAGGAUGUUGGCUUAGAAGCAGCCAUCAUUUAAAGAAAGCGUAAUAGCUCACUGGUCGAGUCGGCCUGCGCGGAAGAUGUAACGGGGCUAAACCAUGCACCGAAGCUGCGGCAGCGACACUAUGUGUUGUUGGGUAGGGGAGCGUUCUGUAAGCCUGUGAAGGUGGCCUGUGAGGGUUGCUGGAGGUAUCAGAAGUGCGAAUGCUGACAUAAGUAACGAUAAAGCGGGUGAAAAGCCCGCUCGCCGGAAGACCAAGGGUUCCUGUCCAACGUUAAUCGGGGCAGGGUGAGUCGACCCCUAAGGCGAGGCCGAAAGGCGUAGUCGAUGGGAAACAGGUUAAUAUUCCUGUACUUGGUGUUACUGCGAAGGGGGGACGGAGAAGGCUAUGUUGGCCGGGCGACGGUUGUCCCGGUUUAAGCGUGUAGGCUGGUUUUCCAGGCAAAUCCGGAAAACCAAGGCUGAGGCGUGAUGACGAGGCACUACGGUGCUGAAGCGACAAAUGCCCUGCUUCCAGGAAAAGCCUCUAAGCAUCAGGUAACAUCAAAUCGUACCCCAAACCGACACAGGUGGUCAGGUAGAGAAUACCAAGGCGCUUGAGAGAACUCGGGUGAAGGAACUAGGCAAAAUGGUGCCGUAACUUCGGGAGAAGGCACGCUGAUAUGUAGGUGAAGCGACUUGCUCGUGGAGCUGAAAUCAGUCGAAGAUACCAGCUGGCUGCAACUGUUUAUUAAAAACACAGCACUGUGCAAACACGAAAGUGGACGUAUACGGUGUGACGCCUGCCCGGUGCCGGAAGGUUAAUUGAUGGGGUUAGCGGUAACGCGAAGCUCUUGAUCGAAGCCCCGGUAAACGGCGGCCGUAACUAUAACGGUCCUAAGGUAGCGAAAUUCCUUGUCGGGUAAGUUCCGACCUGCACGAAUGGCGUAAUGAUGGCCAGGCUGUCUCCACCCGAGACUCAGUGAAAUUGAACUCGCUGUGAAGAUGCAGUGUACCCGCGGCAAGACGGAAAGACCCCGUGAACCUUUACUAUAGCUUGACACUGAACAUUGAGCCUUGAUGUGUAGGAUAGGUGGGAGGCUUUGAAGUGUGGACGCCAGUCUGCAUGGAGCCGACCUUGAAAUACCACCCUUUAAUGUUUGAUGUUCUAACGUUGGCCCGUAAUCCGGGUUGCGGACAGUGUCUGGUGGGUAGUUUGACUGGGGCGGUCUCCUCCUAAAGAGUAACGGAGGAGCACGAAGGUUGGCUAAUCCUGGUCGGACAUCAGGAGGUUAGUGCAAUGGCAUAAGCCAGCUUGACUGCGAGCGUGACGGCGCGAGCAGGUGCGAAAGCAGGUCAUAGUGAUCCGGUGGUUCUGAAUGGAAGGGCCAUCGCUCAACGGAUAAAAGGUACUCCGGGGAUAACAGGCUGAUACCGCCCAAGAGUUCAUAUCGACGGCGGUGUUUGGCACCUCGAUGUCGGCUCAUCACAUCCUGGGGCUGAAGUAGGUCCCAAGGGUAUGGCUGUUCGCCAUUUAAAGUGGUACGCGAGCUGGGUUUAGAACGUCGUGAGACAGUUCGGUCCCUAUCUGCCGUGGGCGCUGGAGAACUGAGGGGGGCUGCUCCUAGUACGAGAGGACCGGAGUGGACGCAUCACUGGUGUUCGGGUUGUCAUGCCAAUGGCACUGCCCGGUAGCUAAAUGCGGAAGAGAUAAGUGCUGAAAGCAUCUAAGCACGAAACUUGCCCCGAGAUGAGUUCUCCCUGACUCCUUGAGAGUCCUGAAGGAACGUUGAAGACGACGACGUUGAUAGGCCGGGUGUGUAAGCGCAGCGAUGCGUUGAGCUAACCGGUACUAAUGAACCGUGAGGCUUAACCUU